CACCUGCUUCUGGGCCAGAGACAUCAUGUGCUUUUCAUUACCAUCAUUAGUCAUUGUCAGUACAUCUUGUUACAAGAGCAAAGCAUAAAAGAUCAAGACUGCUGGCCCCCCUGUAAUAAUGUAGUGUAUACUGAAGACUUUUAUGUAUUUUGCAUAGGUAUAGGACUGAGUGAAAUGCUUAGACAGUAUCUGAGAUGUUAGUUAUUUUUAGCUGUCCUAGUGUAGUUAUUUAGAAUUAAAACUUUCUUGUUGCUGUCACUGUGGUAAGUCUUUGUAGGAAGGCACGUAGUACCCUCAGCAGUGAGCUCCUCUCCUUCUGACCUGGUAGUGUAUCCCUGUGCAGUUUCCUGCAGGAUCUGUAAUGUAAUCCUAUAGUACAAGUAGUGCUUCCUUGUGUAAAUACAAACCUGACAACUUUUGGAUGAACCUCUAGAUGAUAUCAUACUAUCACUAUAACAUAGCUCCUGCUACCAGUCCCUUGCACAGGUUGCUGGUGGAAGGAGUUAUACUCCUGAAAUCUGCUACCUUAUCAGUUUAUGUUGUAUUUCCUUCUACCCUCUCCUGUACCUAACUCUAGUGCUUCCUUUUUCAGUUCUGCUAUCCUGCAGCUGUUCUGCAUCCCCUGUGAAGGCAGAGAGGGGCUGACAGUCACCAUGUUCUCCCAUUUGGUGGGCUGCAGUCAGGAAAAAGUGGAGCCUGCUCUACCUAAUGACCUACAAAACCCUCCCCUGUUCAUGACAAAAUCUAAACCUGUGCUUCAGUACUUCUGGUUGCAUGGCCAAGGAAGGUCCUCUUGGAGCUGUUCUUUUCCAUGUGUUGUGACUGCAUCACCAACAACUCCUCUCAAGGGGCUUGGAAACGGGGAGGCAGGAGUCAGAAACAUCCACUUUGACUUCAGCCUGGCUCUGUCAGUAACAGACCUAAUUAUGGGGCCACUCUCAUGUGUGUAAGCUGAAGACAAAGGAGACACAUUUCACAUCCACUGACAAGCACCAGAGCUUCAUCACACAGGCCUUGGAGUGCUAAGUGUUACGUUGCCUCUAUUUUUAGAGCAUGCUCCCUUUCUUGUUACUAGGUUAGGUGUUCACCUGCAGAAAGUAAACUGCUGUUUCAUAGCUUUGGUUAUUAAUAGAAGGACUUGGAAAGUAGACAUAAGCAGGUUACUAGGUUGAUACGAUUGCUGGAUUGCAGUACUUGUGAAACAGAUGACCUCUUUCAAUUGCUAUACAAAUGUAUUUUGCCAUAGCGUUGGAGUCUUAUGCAAGGGUUUCUAAUGACAUUUAGUGUGAAAGGUGCCAGAGCAGACCAAAAGUAAAGUGAAAGUGGGGUUUCAGCAAUGAGCCCUGCUGCUGGGUUCCUGCUGUGCAAGCCCUCCACCUGUGCACCCUGGAUUCAGCAGCAGCAGCAGCUCUUGCUCUUUGUUAAAUGCCUUUGUCUGGAAAUCCUACACUUGUAGAACAUAAGCAUUACUCAUGACAGAAUCCCGGUGUGAAGAAUGGUAAGUCUGCUAAAUAAUGAUGCUCUGAACUUGAAGGGUCAUAAUAGAACAUUUUUAUAAAUGCAUAAAAAUAUAAAAGAAGAGAAAAUAAGGGAGCUUUUUCGGGUUAGAGAAGGAAUCCUGCAUUACACUAUCUGAGACAGCAAUGGCACUGCUUCGCUAUAUGAGAGAGACAGGAUGAGAUUAGUGUUACCAUUUCUAUGCCUCUGUUUGGGCAGAAAAUCAUUUCACACAGUUAGAGCUUCCCUUGUGAGCCAGUUCAAGGAAUAGGUUCAAUUAUUAGCUAAAACUACACACCCACUCUCAGUAGUGUAUGCAAGGGCUGCAUAUAGUGCAACACAAAACAGAAGUCUUGACUGGAUCUGUAAACAGAACAAGAACUUGGGGCUAUCAAAAAAUGUGAAUAUCUGCUCUAAAUGAAAGGUACAAUUCUUUGCCUCCUCAUGCAACAC
rnacentral:lncRNA from 1 species